rnacentral:rRNA from 1 species
GACGAACGCUGGCGGCGUGCUUAACACAUGCAAGUCGAACGGAAAGGCCCUGCUUUUGUGGGGUGCUCGAGUGGCGAACGGGUGAGUAACACGUGAGUAACCUGCCCUUGACUUUGGGAUAACUUCAGGAAACUGGGGCUAAUACCGGAUAGGAGCUCCUGCUGCAUGGUGGGGGUUGGAAAGUUUCGGCGGUUGGGGAUGGACUCGCGGCUUAUCAGCUUGUUGGUGGGGUAGUGGCUUACCAAGGCUUUGACGGGUAGCCGGCCUGAGAGGGUGACCGGCCACAUUGGGACUGAGAUACGGCCCAGACUCCUACGGGAGGCGGCAGUGGGGAAUAUUGCACAAUGGGCGGAAGCCUGAUGCAGCAACGCCGCGUGCGGGAUGACGGCCUUCGGGUUGUAAACCGCUUUCGCCUGGGACGAAGCGUGAGUGACGGUAAUGGGUAAAGAAGCACCGGCUAACUACG